GACGAACGCUGGCGGCGUGCCUAAUACAUGCGAGUCGAGCGCAGGAAGCCGUCUGAACCCUUCGGGGGGACGACGGCGGAAUGAGCGGCGGACGGGUGAGUAACACGUAAAGAACCUGCCCACGGGUCUGGGAUAACCACGAGAAAUCGGGGCUAAUACCGGACGGGUCAUCGGACCGCAUGGUCCGAGGAUGAAAGGCGCUCCGGCGUCGCCCGUGGAUGGCUUUGCGGUGCAUUAGCUAGUUGGGGGGGUAACGGCCCACCAAGGCGACGAAGCAUAGCCGACCUGAGAGGGUGAUCGGCAACACUGGGACCGAGACACGGCCCAGACUCCUACGGGAGGCAGCAGUAGGGAAUCUUCCACAAUGGACGAAAGUCUGAUGGAGCAACGCCGCGUGAACGAUGAAGGCCCUCGGGUCGUAAAGUUCUGUUGUAAGGGAAGAACAAGUGCCGCAGGCAAUGGCGGCACCUUGACGGUACCUUGCGAGAAAGCCACGGCUAACUACGUGCCAGCAGCCGCCGUAAUAC
rnacentral:rRNA from 1 species